rnacentral:lncRNA from 1 species
CAUUUAGAGUAAAUUAUAUUCGUACAGUUUAAGACUUAAUAUACUCGUAUUUCCUUCCUAUUUUACCCAUACACAAAUCCUCCAUACUUUUUACAACUCUAUUACAAAGGUAUCCCCCGGACCAUCAUGGUAUUAAUUCCGUUAACAGAAAUGUCUUCCCCACAGCAGUUGUUAACGUUGAAAGAGUGUUUUUGAAAUUCCAAAAAUUGAACAUGCUCUCUUUCUUUUUUCUUCAUACAUAGUCACAUAUAGGAUCUUUUUAUUCUGAUAAAAAGAAUAUUAUGAAACUAUCACUGGAUGUGCAGCAUCUUCUAUGAAAUUUACUAAAGUCAAGCAUCAACAUUUCAAAACCAAAACCAAAUAUUUCAAAGCCAUUGUUAGUGAUCCAGCUACUAUACCCAAGUAUAUGACAGUAUAAUAAAUAAUACAGUAGUAGCUAACCACAAAAAUCCCCUCAUCCCGUAAACAUGUCCUUGGGUAAGUCCUACUUGCAUAGGUUAUUGGAAACCCAAAUCAUCCAAAAUAGUAUCGUAGUAUUGUAAGUCCAACACGGGUUACUGCAAGUCCAGAGCACGUUAUCGUCUUUACAUAGGAAAAGUUCCAGAACCAAUAUUGACAAAAAAAAUUGAAAUUUCAAAACCAUAAAAAAACAUCAACAGGAAUAAAAAAAGAGGAUAAUUUGAGAACCAAUUUAACGAAAAAUAAAAUGAAAUUUAAGAUUCGUCAAGCCACUCGCUCUCCUUCUUAAGCUGCUCCACGAGCGUCGUAGGCUCUUCAAUGAAAGAAUGGGUGCGUUCGGAGCGUUUGACGGCGCUGGGGGCUGAAGCGUUGAUGGCUUGGUUGUUGAAGCGAUUGAGACCUUAUCGCAAGCGGCGAGUUUGAAGAGGCUGAAAAGUGGUUGUGGCGCCGGAGCGGUGGCAGAUACAGGUGGUUUAUGCACAUGGCGCGGCGAAGUGGUUGGCGUUGUUGUACAUUGCUUCGCCUCCCCUGUGUUCUACAAACCCUAGCAGAGCACAAUUGGAAUUUUCUAAUUUUAGAGGCGAUCCACAAGGGUUAUUUGGACAUUUCACACAAUAAUAAACAUGGUCAAUUAACUGAGAUGACUCGGG